rnacentral:tRNA from 1 species
GGCAUGUGGAGUAGUGGUAACAUCACAAACUGACAAUCGGUCGACCCCGGUUCGAUUCCCGAACCCGCCA